rnacentral:lncRNA from 1 species
CUUGGACCGGGCCUUGACCUUGGCCCAACAAAUCUCAGCCCAAUUGAGAUUUAUUCUUGAUUUUGGGUUGGACCCAAGUUGAGUUGGGCUUGCUGAAAAUUGGCUUCAAUUUGAUAUACUGGAAUUAGGCCCACUAUUGGGCUUUAAUUGGUGCGGUCUUGGAAUUGGGCUGCAGCUGGUGAAUUUCGACUGGGCUUGAAGACAACUGGGUUGCACGUUGAACUGAAGUGGCUGAAUUGGACUGGACUGGGCUACAACAAAAAGGCCCGAAUUGUUGAUGAAGAUGGGCCCACAACGCUGGACUUCGGUGGGCUUCACACGAUCAGAUGAAGGCCGUUCAAUUUCACGCUCGCAGCUUCGUGGAGUUGAUGGCGAAGACACGCGAACGCUGGUCAAUGAAGGCUUCACUCGGUGGAAAUUCGAUUGAGAUGGGGGCGUGCUGGCGUAGACGAUGGAGGGAAAAACAGCGUCGACGAAGCUGUGUCGUUGAUCUUCAAGCGUGGCUGCUCUUCAAGCUUCGCUAGCGGACGUGUGGAGUGGAGCUGAGGGACGCGCGGAGGAAAGCUGCAGUUGGAACGCUUGAUCGAAUGGGAGCAACUCGGAUGCGUGGGCGUGGGCUUCAAGCGGUCAACCCACGACCUCGCUCUUGCAGAUGCUGACCAAGAGAUGCUCGUUGAUGGACAAGUGGCGAGGAGCAGCUUAAAUUGAAGAUCUCGUAGCUAACGUGAGUGGAGUGUGUGGGCUUCGGUUGAGGAAGAGAAGUAACGGAGAUGGAGAGAGAUUGGAUGGGGAUUGCUUCGCACGGCAGAGAGAUUAAAACAAAAGCAGGAAUAAUGAGCG